rnacentral:rRNA from 1 species
GUCCACGCCCUAAACGAUGUCAACUGGUUGUUGGGAAUUUAUUUUCUCAGUAACGAAGCUAACGCGUGAAGUUGACCGCCUGGGGAGUACGGCCGCAAGGUUAAAACUCAAAGGAAUUGACGGGGACCCGCACAAGCGGUGGAUGAUGUGGUUUAAUUCGAUGCAACGCGAAAACCUUACCCACCUUUGACAUGUAUGGAAUCCUUUAGAGAUAGAGGAGUGCUCGAAAGAGAGCCAUAACACAGGUGCUGCAUGGCUGUCGU